AUUGAACGCUGGCGGCAGGCCUAACACAUGCAAGUCGAGCGAGCGGCGGACGGGUGAGUAAUGUCUGGGAAACUGCCUGAUGGCGGGGGAUAACUACUGGAAACGGUAGCUAAUACCGCAUACCAUCAGAUGUACCCAGAUGGGAUUAGCUAGUAGGUAGGGUAAAGGCUUACCUAGGCGACGAUCCCUAGCUGGUCUGAGAGGAUGACCAGCCACACUGGGACUGAGAAACGGCCCAGACUCCUACGGGAGGCAGCAGUGGGGAAUAUUGCACAAUGGGCGCAAUCCUGAUGCAGCCAGGCCGCGUGUAUGAAGAAGGCCUUCGGGUUGUAAAGUACUUUCAGUCGGGAGGCGUUACCCACAGAAGAAGCACCGGCUAACUCCGUGCCAGCAGCCGCGGUAAUUC
rnacentral:rRNA from 1 species